GACGAACGCUGGCGGCGUGCCUAAUACAUGCAAGUCGAACGCAGUGGGGACGGGUGAGUAACACGUGGGUAACCUCCCAUCAGAGGGGAUAACACUUGGAAACAGGUGCUAAACCGAUACUGAUGGAUGGACCCGCGGGGCAUUAGCUAGUCGGUGGGGUAACGGCUCACCAAGGCCACGAUGCAUAGCCGGCCUGGGAGGGUGAUCGGCCACCUUGGAACUGAGACACGGCCCAGACUCCUACGGGAGGCAGCAGUAGGGAAUAUUCGGCAAUGGACGAAAGUCUGACCUAGCAACGCCGCGUGAGUGAAGAAGGUUUUCGGAUCGUAAAGCUCUGUUGGUAGAGAAGCGGUAUCUAACCAGAAAGCCCCGGCUAACUACGUGCCAGCAGCCGCGGUAAUUC
rnacentral:rRNA from 1 species